CAGGGGUGGAGUUAAGGUGUACCCAAAGAGAUACUAAGUGACUACCUCCUUUGUUCCAGAAAACAACAAGCCACAUACAAACUUUUGGUUUUAUCUCCUCUACUGUACUUGCCACAGAAAUAAUAAUUGCCUCAAUGAAUUUAUUAUUUUCCCAUUCCAUAGACGUGUUGCACGCCCCAACCACGAUCCAAUAGGACAGACAUCACAAUUCCUGCCACACGGUUUAAG